rnacentral:rRNA from 1 species
UACAGAGGGUGCAAGCGUUAAUCGGAUUUACUGGGCGUAAAGCGAGUGUAGGUGGUUUGUUAAGUCAGGUGUGAAAUCCCAGGGCUCAACCCUGGAACUGCAUUUGAUACUGACAGACUCGAGUGUGGUAGAGGAUAGUGGAAUUCCCGGUGUAGCGGUGAAAUGCGUAGAGAUGCGGAGGAACACCAGUGGCGAAAGCGGCUUUCUGGUCCUUAACUGACGCUGAGGAGCGAAAGCGUGGGGAGCGAACAGG